rfam:Myotis lucifugus cont2.56878, whole genome shotgun sequence.
GGAUCGAUGAUGACUCCCUCAAAAAAAAAAAACAGCCAAACCAACAUUCCUUGGAAAAGCUGAACAAAAUGAGUGAGAACUACACCCGUCGUCGUUCUCAUCGGUAACUGAGGUCC